rnacentral:tRNA from 1 species
GUUCUUGUGGUUGAGUGACAACGAUAGUUUUUCAAGCUGUAGGUCCUGGUUGGAGUCCAGGUAAGAACA